rnacentral:rRNA from 1 species
UACGUAGGGCGCAAGCGUUGUCCGGAAUUAUUGGGCGUAAAGAGCUCGUAGGCGGCUUGUCACGUCGAUUGUGAAAGCCCGAGGCUUAACCUCGGGUCUGCAGUCGAUACGGGCUAGCUAGAGUGUGGUAGAGGGCGGUAGAAUUCCAGGUGUAGCGGUGAAAUGCGUAGAUAUCUGGAGGAACACCGAUGGCGAAGGCAGCCGCCUGGGCCACAACUGACGCUGAGGUACGAAAGCGUGGGGAGCAAACAGG